CCGUAUUCUGCUCACGUCGGAUUAGCUCUCUUCUCCUUGCGAGAAAGGCAACCGCGUGGCUUUACGAAACUUUUUCGCCACAGGACGAUUCCCUUUUGGGUGCGCGUGGCAGAUGCUAGGAGACUCCGUCCAGGAGUCCUUCGCUACUCUCAUUCGUUCGGUCCGCGGACGAUAAGCUCCGUACGAGACAGCGAGGUUUUACCAGUCUGUGGCGAGGUCUAGGGAAUGAGGAGACUCUCCCUGCACCUCGGCAUGUCCGCUCGUAGUGCCGGUACGUACGUGACACACACACACACGAAUGACCCUUUCCAAGUCGCUAGAUCAAGCGUUGGUCUGGGUGCGUUCAAAGAGCUUUUGGUGGAAACGCCAAGCCGCCGGCCAAAUUUCUCCCCGGUCGUCUAACUAUAUAUAUUAUUUUCCACACGAACAAGGACACAACUAGUUUGUUGCGAGCCGUCGUCUUUUCGGCGGCCGUCUCACUCAAUAUGAAACGUUAACGUACGACCGUAGGCGUUGGAUCACUCGGCUCGU
rnacentral:misc_RNA from 1 species